CCAAUAGCGUAUAUUAAAGUUGUUGCAGUUAAAAAGCUCGUAGUUGAAUUUCGGGAUCAAUGGGUUGGUCAUGCCCUCGGUAUGUACUGAUUUCAUUGGUUCUCACCUUCUAAGGAACCAUGAUGUCAUUCGUUUGAUGUUGUGGGGAAUUAGGACUGUUACCUUGAAAAAAUUAGAGUGUUUAAAGCAGGCUAACGCUUGAAUACAUUAGCAUGGAAUAAUGAAAUAGGACAUCCGAUUCUAUUUUGUUGGUUUCUAGGAUCGAUGUAAUGAUUAAUAGGGAUAGUUGGGGGCAUUAGUAUUCAAUUGUCAGAGGUGAAAUUCUUGGAUGUAUUGAAGACUAACUACUGCGAAAGCAGUUGCCAAGGAUGUUUUGAUUAACCAAGAACGAAAGUUAGGGGAUCGAAGACGAUCAGAUACCGUCGUAGUCCUAACCAUAAACUAUGCCGACUAGGGAUCGGAUGAUGCUUAUUUUUUAAUGACCCAGUCGGCACCUUACG
rnacentral:rRNA from 1 species